UGGGGAAUAUUGGACAAUGGGCGAAAGCCUGAUCCAGCCAUGCCGCGUGUGUGAAGAAGGUCUUCGGAUUGUAAAGCACUUUAAGUUGGGAGGAAGGGCAGUAAGCUAAUACCUUGCUGUUUUGACGUUACCGACAGAAUAAGCACCGGCUAACUCUGUGCCAGCAGCCGCGGUAAUACAGAGGGUGCAAGCGUUAAUCGGAAUUACUGGGCGUAAAGCGCGCGGAGGUGGUUUGUUAAGUUGGAUGUGAAAGCCCCGGGCUCAACCUGGGAACUGCAUCCAAAACUGGCAAGCUAGAGUACGGUAGAGGGUGGUGGAAUUUCCUGUGUAGCGGUGAAAUGCGUAGAUAUAGGAAGGAACACCAGUGGCGAAGGCGACCACCUGGACUGAUACUGACACUGAGGUGCGAAAGCGUGGGGAGCAAACA
rnacentral:rRNA from 1 species